UUGAUAGCAGUGGAAUCUCAAAUGCUCUAUCUUUCCACUGAUAAGGUAUAACCCAGGCAGAUAUAGUGUGAUUUGGGUCUAUCUCGUCACAAGUCUGUUUUACCAAACUUGGUCCUAAUGGAAGCAAAGGUUUGUGUUUCGAAAGCAGCUGAGGCCAAAUGAUUUU
ensembl:misc_RNA